rnacentral:rRNA from 1 species
UGCGGCGUAUUAGCUAGUUGGUAAGGUAAUGGCUUACCAAGGCGACGAUGCGUAGCCGAACUGAGAGGUUGAUCGGCCACAUUGGGACUGAGACACGGCCCAAACUCCUAUGGGAGACAGCAGUUAGGAAUAUUCGUCAAUGGGGGAAACCCUGAACGAGCAAUGCCGCGUGAGUGAUGACGGUCCUUUGGAUUGUAAAACUCUUUUAUUAGGGACGAACGACUAGUAUAGGAAAUGAUACUAGAGUGACGGUACCUUUUGAAUAAGCCCCGGCUAACUACGUGCCAGCAGCCGCGGUAAUACGUAGGGGGCAAGCGUUAUCCGGAUUUAUUGGGUGUAAAGCGUGUGUAGGCGGUUUUUUAAGUCUAAGGUUUAAGCCCGGAGCUCAACUCCGGUACGCCUUAGAAACUGAUUUACUUGAGUGUGGUAGAGGCAAAUGGAAUUUCUAGUGUAGCGGUAGAAUGCGUAGAUAUUAGAAGGAACACCAGUGGCGAAGGCGAUUUGCUGGGCCAUUACUGACGCUGAGACACGAAAGCGUGGGGAGCAAAUAGGAUUAGAUACCCUAGUAGUCCACGCCGUAAACGAUGGAUACUAAGUGUUGGGGUUACCCAGUGCUGAAGUUAACACAUUAAGUAUCCCACCUGAGUAGUACGGUCGCAAGGCUGCAACUCAAAGGAAUUGACGG